CACAAUCCGCUGGGGUUACCGUCAACGGGUGGAAGCUUUGUUCUCUCGCUCUUAGCGAUAAAUCUUGGUGUAGCUUACUGUUUGGGUUCGCACUACCUUUAAGAGCUGUAACACUCACUGUGAAGGUGUGUGGCUUCACUCCUGAAGUCAAUGAGACUACGAAACCACCAGAAGGAAAAAACUUUGGACACACCUGAACAUCUGAAGGAACAAACUCCGGACACACCAUGUUUGAGAACUGUACCACUCAGCGCGAGGGUCUGUGGCCUCAUUCGUGAAGUCAGCAAGACAAAGAACCCACUGGAAGGAACCAAUUCUGGAAACACAGUAAACAGCACUUGAUUGGCCAACAGAAACCUAUUUCGUUUACAAAUGGUCGUUCCAAGGUGAAUGGACAAUAUCCUGUUUGGAAAGCUGCCACGCUAUGACCAACUGGUGGAAAAACCCUGAUUGAAGACAAGAACAAAGCAGUCUGUUAAUAUGAUGAAUUACCUAAACUGAUGCACAAAAUUUGAACCAGCCUUGCAUUCCUGGCGCUAAUAUCCCUGAUAAUAAUAUGCUGUCAUUUUACUGGAUAUUGGUGGAUGAUACUAUGUUAAGCCCGAUUGCCCUGGCUGCAACUUCCAGUACAAUGUUGAAUAUAAGUGGCAAUAGUGGACAUCUUGGGAAUGUCAGCGUCCUGGUGACCCCGACCUCUGGCGGAUGUCCUUGGUGUUCACAGGGCAGCAAUGUGUGCUUGGGUACACUGUUGUAGAAGGACAACGUGGAAAUACAACUUGCCAGUGAACAUGUUUAAUCCUCUCCUAUGUUGUGGUAGUUUUUCAAAUAAUUUGUCCAUCUCCCCUGGCUUAUGACUUUUUCUCUUACUGAUGCAUAGAGGUCUCUUAUGUAAUCUAGUUAUAAAAGUUGCUGAUAUCUUCACCAAGAUGGCUUUCCUUUCCUUUUCACUAUUUUUUUACACUACCUUUUGCUGAUUUUAUACCACUGGGAUUUACUUUAGAAAGGAUUUAAAAUAGAGAUUUAGCUAUCAUUUUUUUCAAAUGUUAGCCAAAUAGUGCAACACAAUAUUUUCAAUGUUUCAACUUUAUCCUAUUUAGAAGAUUCCAAAUUGCUUGAAUAACUUUUGAUGUACACUUGGAUGAAACACAAAUCUAAUUUUUUAUCGUAUCAUUCAUAUUUAUAGAAUCUUCAGAAGUAAUCAACUAUAAAAUCUGUAAAUCAGAAUCUUUGUAGGUACCAGCAGUCAAAAGUUCUUCCAAUGAAACCACUUUUGGCAGAUUUUUUCUCAUAAUGUAAUAACAGCUAAAUUCAGGAGAAAUUUUGAGGGAAUAUUUUUCUAAUUGACCAUUCUUGUCAUUUAAAGUCUUUUUUUCUGAUGCAAAAUUUUAGCCAUUUUAUAUCAUUCAUUUAAGUAAACCUUUCUUAGGCUGCCCUAUCUGACUUAUUUAUGGAGAUUCCAACAUGGCAGGUCCCCAAGAAAAGUUUUAUUUCCCCAAGACUGUGAUUACUGGUUGGGAUAAUGGGUCUGGGGAAAUGGUGAGUUAAGGGGGAGCACCUCAGCGUCCGAGUUCUUUGCUGUGGUCAGCCCUCCUCGUCAACGGAAUCAUCUAACAUCUAACAUCAACAGAAACAUCUAACGAGAGCACUAACACCUCUUCCUUGAAGGAGAGGAGUAAAUCCCAAACACAUCCGAAUGGACCGCUUUAAAAUGAUUUUCAUUUCCAUUUGAGUUAUCUUUGUUGGGACAGUCUUCUUUCAAUCAGGUUACAGCGCCAUCUAGCAUUCAAAACUGGGAGUCCUGGGCAAGAAGUGAACUGCUUCAGAAAUGCCCUGGGAGCCGCUGGGGAAAGAGGUGCUGAAUUGGAGCAGCUGGGUAGAGAGGUCAGGCCGACCCGGCUCAGCAUAGAUGCAGUGAGGCUGAAGCCGAGGGUCUGAAGGCAGGGUGAUGAUGGACAUCAGUGGAACAGGAAUCUAAAACUGACCUGUGAUUCUCAUAGUUAAGGCAAAUGGUCAAAUAAUCCAGCGUUGCUUAAGGUUAUUAAUGAGUGUCCUAUGGUCAAUUCCCCUUCUUCAUUUAACUUAAAAUUUGUGAUCCUUUUUACAAACUGAUCAGCAUCCACAAAGGGUUUGAUGCCUCUACAAAUGUAAUCAAAAGUGACUAUAGAACAGGUUAUUUUUAAAUUAUCAGUGAAAUUUAAAAUUGUUCUUACUUUGUAAAAUAUCAGCUUAUAGAUCCUGCAUUCUUUUUUCACCUCUAUGAUAUGCAGUAUCACAUACACUGUAUUUUGUUGUCAGCCAUCUAUUUAUAGAUAAUUAGAUCAUUGCUAAUUUUUCCACUAUCACAAACAAUGUUGCAUUGGGACAUUCUUAUUCUCUCCUCUUUAAAAUAUUAUUUAUGGAAAAAUAAAAUGGUUAAGUCUAAGUGUAGGCGUAUUUUACAUAUUGCAAGCUGUUAAAAAAUAUCUCUCCCAGAAGAGGCUUCUCUCAGGUCACAUGAACAGAACCAAGGGUCCCAGGUAGCCUUGCCCUGAUCUCAAAAAGGGAACUACAACUCUUGCCAGUCUCCAUUGCUCAUUCUAGGCAGCUGAUCCCUUGAAGGCCUCCCUGGCUGUGGGACAGAAGUGGACUUCUGAGGACAGGCUAUGUGAUUCAGACAUGUAGAGACCAAAAUAUUAAAACUGAUGCCACCAAUUGUGAAAUUGAGGCCUUCUAGGGAAAACAAGUUCAUGCCCUAAUGUGUGCACAUUUGGUUCCAGGGAAGCAAGGUUGGUGAACAUCGUGUAGGAUGGCUUCCUGAGGCAGGAAGAGGAGAGUGGCAGCAAGCCUGCACCUCCCUCUUCUGGAGUUGUCUUUCUGGUGCCUGUACAGACUUAAUUAUUCUUGACAAAGUCUUCAUUGUGACGGCAUUACCCUCUUUGUGCACACACACAAAAAAAGAGUUUGGGAAGAUUGUUUCUGAGCCUAAGAAUUUUGCUAUGCCACUUUUUUCUUUUGCUAUUUCUCCCAAUCAACUCACGCUUCCUAAACUGUUAUUUCAUAUUAAGUGUCUUAACCUUGAGACCUAAGUAUUCACUUAUUUAAAAAUAUUUCUCAAAUACCCCUUACAUAUGAAGCACUGUUCCAGGAGCUUGGAAUAUAUUAGUGUGCAAACUAAAGCUACCUGAUCUCAUGGAGUUUACAAUCAGAAUUUAUACUACUAUGCAUUUAUAUUUUAUGUAUAUUAAAUUAUAUCGUAGGUAAGAAGGCAAUGAGAGCAGUGAACAAAGUGCAUGAAGGUAAGAUGACUAGAGUACUUGAUACCUCAGGUUUCAAAAGUAAAUAGGGUGAUCAAGACAGGAUUCAGUUGAAUUGAGUUUUGAGCAAAAACUUGAAGGAAAUGAAAGAGUUAAUCAACAGAUGCAGAGUGGAGUGUGUCCUAGGGAGGGCAAAAGCCCUACUAGAGAGCUCAUUUUUCAAGGGUUCUGCAAGGCUAGCGUGGCUGGAGUGCAGCUGACCUCGGAGGGUCAUUCUUAGUGAGAAGGGCAUGCAGAGGAAUCUGGCUUCCACUCUGAGCCGAAUACAUGGCCAUUGCAGGGUUUGAACAGAGAGGUUGUGCAUGGUCUCAUCCUCAUUCAGCUGUAUGAAUGAUAUAGCUAGAGGGAGGGGCAGGGGUGGAAGCAGGGAGACAUUUUCUGAAGCUCCAGGGAGAGAUGAUGAGGCUCCGAUCAGGUUUCACCUGCGUCAGAUUCCGUCUUCCUGCCAUUCAGUCUGAUGAAACUGUGUGGUUAUGCGUUCCUGAUAGAGGUGUGAAGAAGCAAUCUAGGGAAGCUCUGCCUACAGUCUGUGUAAGAGAAAUCCUGUACCUUAAGAUGAUGAGUUAGUGGGUGCAGCGCACCAGCAUGGCACAUGUAUACAUAUGUAACUAACCUGCACAAUGUGCACAGGUACCCUAAAACUUAAAGUAUAAUAAAAAUAAAAUAAAAUAAAAUAAAAUAAAAUAAAAAAA